UGUACCGACAUAGCAAGAGAGAAAGAGAGGAGGCCACGGCUAAGGGGAGGGAGGAAGGAGAGGUCCGUUUUCGGUGAUCCAACCCGAUAACAGGUAGCAGGUGGCUUAGAGUAGGUCCACUACCGGUCAGCGCUUUGGGGAGUGCUCAGUCUAACGUUGGGUGACGUCUUUGGUUAGAUUGCUGUGUAAUUGGUUCAUCUAGAGGUUAACUUAUGCGUUUUGUAAUUAAUUGGAGAGAUGGUUAUUUAUUAUAACUUGUGAGUUGAGAUUUUGGCGUUGACCUAGUUGUAUUUUAUGUG